UACGAAGGGGGCUAGCGUUGUUCGGAAUUACUGGGCGUAAAGCGCACGUAGGCGGAUACUUAAGUCAGGGGUGAAAUCCCGGGGCUCAACCCCGGAACUGCCUUGAUACUGGGUAUCUCGAGUCCGGAAGAGGUGAGUGGAAUUCCGUGUAGAGGUGAAAUUCGUAGAUAUUCGGAGGAACACCAGUGGCGAAGGCGGCUCACUGGUCCGGUACUGACGCUGAGGUGCGAAAGCGUGGGGAGCAAACAGG
rnacentral:rRNA from 1 species